rnacentral:rRNA from 1 species
UACAGAGGUCCCAAGCGUUGUUCGGAUUCACUGGGCGUAAAGGGUGCGUAGGCGGUCGGGUAAGUCUGAUGUGAAAUCUCACAGCUUAACUGUGAAACUGCAUUGGAUACUAUUCGGCUUGAGAGUUGGAGGGGGGACUGGAAUUCUUGGUGUAGCAGUGAGAUGCGUAGAUAUCAAGAGGAACACCAGUGGCGAAGGCGAGUCCCUGGACAACUUCUGACGCUGAGGCACGAAAGCUAGGGGAGCAAACAGG